AAAUCCGGUUCACUUUAACACUGAGGCGUGACGACGAGGCACUACGGUGCUGAAGCAACAAAUGCCCUGCUUCCAGGAAAAGCCUCUAAGCAUCAGGUAACAUCAAAUCGUACCCCAAACCGACACAGGUGGUCAGGUAGAGAAUACCAAGGCGCUUGAGAGAACUCGGGUGAAGGAACUAGGCAAAAUGGUGCCGUAACUUCGGGAGAAGGCACGCUGACACGUAGGUGAAGUGAUUUACUCAUGGAGCUGAAGUCAGUCGAAGAUACCAGCUGGCUGCAACUGUUUAUUAAAAACACAGCACUGUGCAAACACGAAAGUGGACGUAUACGGUGUGACGCCUGCCCGGUGCCGGAAGGUUAAUUGAUGGGGUCAGCGCAAGCGAAGCUCCUGAUCGAAGCCCCGGUAAACGGCGGCCGUAACUAUAACGGUCCUAAGGUAGCGAAAUUCCUUGUCGGGUAAGUUCCGACCUGCACGAAUGGCGUAAUGAUGGCCAGGCUGUCUCCACCCGAGACUCAGUGAAAUUGAACUCGCUGUGAAGAUGCAGUGUACCCGCGGCAAGACGGAAAGACCCCGUGAACCUUUACUAUAGCUUGACACUGAACAUUGAGCCUUGAUGUGUAGGAUAGGUGGGAGGCUUUGAAGUGUGGACGCCAGUCUGCAUGGAGCCGACCUUGAAAUACCACCCUUUAAUGUUUGAUGUUCUAACGUGGACCCGUUACCCGGGUUGCGGACAGUGUCUGGUGGGUAGUUUGACUGGGGCGGUCUCCUCCUAAAGAGUAACGGAGGAGCACGAAGGUUGGCUAAUCCUGGUCGGACAUCAGGAGGUUAGUGCAAUGGCAUAAGCCAGCUUGACUGCGAGCGUGACGGCGCGAGCAGGUGCGAAAGCAGGUCAUAGUGAUCCGGUGGUUCUGAAUGGAAGGGCCAUCGCUCAACGGAUAAAAGGUACUCCGGGGAUAACAGGCUGAUACCGCCCAAGAGUUCAUAUCGACGGCGGUGUUUGGCACCUCGAUGUCGGCUCAUCACAUCCUGGGGCUGAAGUAGGUCCCAAGGGUAUGGCUGUUCGCCAUUUAAAGUGGUACGCGAGCUGGGUUUAGAACGUCGUGAGACAGUUCGGUCCCUAUCUGCCGUGGGCGCUGGAGAACUGAGGGGGGCUGCUCCUAGUACGAGAGGACCGGAGUGGACGCAUCACUGGUGUUCGGGUUGUCAUGCCAAUGGCACUGCCCGGUAGCUAAAUGCGGAAGAGAUAAGUGCUGAAAGCAUCUAAGCACGAAACUUGCCCCGAGAUGAGUUCUCCCUGAGACUUAGAGUCUCCUGAAGGAACGUUGAAGACGACGACGUUGAUAGGCCGGGUGUGUAAGCGCAGCGAUGCGUUGAGCUAACCGGUACUAAUGAACCGUGAGGCUU
rnacentral:rRNA from 1 species